CUCAGCUUUCAUUUUUUUUAAAAGUGUAUUGUUUCUAGCUCUCAUGGUUGUGGAGAAAAGCUUGAAGAUGUGACUCAUGUAAUUUAAAGGCUCAAACAUCAGAAGGCAAAUAAAAAAUAAGACAUGUAUUUUUUAAAAACAUCAUGAUUUUGGGGGCCUGCUUCAUGUUUUUGAUCAUUUGGGGUUGGCAAGACAGCUCUUCCUCUCUGUGCACCAGUUUCCCAUUUGUAAAAUUGGAUAAUAAUACUUCCCUACUUCCCAGAAGUGUUAAAAUUCACUUAAGUUUGUGAGGUGCUCAGAUAGAUACUAUAAUGAUUGGGACCGUAUAAAUACAUAGACUCUUGUGAUGAAGGCUUUUGCAAUGUUUUGUGUACUUGUCUUUUGACCUCUCUCUUAUACAAAUUGCUUUUUUAUUUCAGCAAGGAGUAAAAGAAAAGCCAAUCAUGUGUCAGCUGACUUCUAUGUUUUUGCCUCACACAGUACUAUGUUUACAGGAAAUGCCUGCUACAGAGACAGUUUUGUACAGAGAGGUGGUGUCAGAUUUGACUAACAUGCUUACAUGAUUAGGUUUACUAAGUGAAGACCCAGAUGACACAGUGAUGAGAGACUUGCAAGCAAUCAGGCUUUUGCAACAUCAAUUAAUCCAAGAAGCGAUUUUAUGCUGUACCUCUUUACUGAUCGGUAACCAUGCAUGAGGUUACACGUCCCCUCCCCCACCAAGAAUGUGCCUCCCUGCUGCAUUAGUAACUAUCUCUUCAACACAUAUUCAGUUACCAGUCUCCCUCUAUAAUCAGGAGCAGCUUUUUUUUUUUUGGCAUUCUAGUAGACUAAAAGGACUGCAGUCUUUAAAAAUGCACUUUGUAGGUAUUUUAAUACUUGUCCAGAAUGUGUAGGUUCAAUUACAUUGUGUAGUGAAUUUAACAUGAAUCAUCUUAUUUUUAUCAUGCAAAAUAAACGGUAGUGUUUCUUUCAGUGAUAUACACACGCUGUGAAUGAAAAUGCAUAAUUUCAAGUAUAGGCAGGCCCGAUUCCUGAAAACACAUGCGUCACUAUGGGACUACUCACAUGCGUAAAGCCGCUGCUGUCCCUUCAUCAGCACUUCUGUCUCAGACCUCCAAUGCAGCAAAAAUCCUGGUGCUUCUGAACAUUUUGAAUGCCUUGCAGUUGAUAUGAUAAAAAUGUGCAUUUGAAAGGAUAUAAAGAGAUGAGUGACUGUUUAAAAUGGGGCAUUAGCAUGACAGUUGACAAAGGCAUGGUAUAUUGUUGGAUCCCACUGGCUUCUAAUGCUCGUUAAUGAGAACAAGUAUUCCUUGAUCAGAGUCAGAGAUAGUAGCUUCAAAUAUACUUCACAUAGACAUUGGAUGUAUGUCACAUUUUGAAAAGAUUGUAUAUAUGUUCAUAUACCUUAGGCACACAUCCCUUUGCUUCUGAACAUUACUGGUUGUUUUCUUUGGUGAUUGACUAGUGACCUGAACCUUUUCCUGUACUUUUGUUGUGUUUAUUUGAUUUUUUUCCCCUUCCCUGUAGUUGCAGGAAUAAUGCUCUGGCAUGCAUGUGCAAUGCUGUACAGCUAGAGAUCUCCAAUAAAGAGUCUGAGUAGUGCUGAGCAUCGGCAAUGCCAUUUAGAUCAAAUUACUUUAUUUGGGCUCUGAACACACUUAGCUGCUCCAGGAAGCUCUCGGCAACUUGAAAGAUUAGGUUCUACAUGCAGUUUCUUGGCCGAAAUUGGAGAUUUUAGCCAUAAUGCCUGACAAAAUCUCACAGAUAUGGGCCCAAAUCUCCCACACAAUUGCACAGAUUUGAGGCAAAAUCUGCACAGAUGUUGUUAAUGGUCCCAGCUGAUUUCUAUUACCCCAGAUCACGUGCAGAUACUUUAUGAGAGAAAGAUAGCACAGGAAAAACUUGCCAAAUUACAGUAAGUGUAGCAUAAUACUAGUUCCUCUUUACACAAUAGCUAUGUCUUCGCUAGUAUUUGUCUUCAGACUUCUCACUGUUACACUGCCACUGGCAGAAGGCUACCAGUAGUGUCAACAGUAGGAGCGCUAGUAUAGACCAACAGUAGGAACAAUAGCGUAGAUUGACUGCUGGCUCUAAAACUCUAGACGCCACCAGAAACUUGUCUACACUUAUCUGUUCCCACUAUUGCUAUCAGCAGCGGCGUCAGCAUGAGACCAAGGCUGGGAAAUUGGAAGGGAAAUGUUAGCGUAAACGUGGUUGCAGUGGUGCCAGCAAGAAACAGUUUAGACGUAUGCAUGGACCAGAUUUUCAGCUGUUGCAAAUCAGCGCAGUGCCAUUGACUUUCGUGGAGCUACACUAAUUUAUAGCAGCUGUGAAUCUAACUCCGGGUUCUAGCAUGCUUAGAGAGAUUUUUUUUUUUCUUGUGAACAUAAACCUGUGUCUGUUGUUGAGAGCCCCAGUCCUGCAAUGUUGGGCAGAAUCCCAUUGCAUGGAGGCUUACUGGAGUCAGUGGGGCUAUGCCCAACUGCAGAGAUCCUGCAAGGGGGAGUUUAUUCCGGGACUGAGGCUUAGCAUGUUUCAACAAGGAUGGUCUCCAUGCUUCAGGAUUGGGCUCUUAGGGAUUUUCUGCAAAUCUGGUAGGUAUACUGAAUAGGACGACAUUCUGCCCUCAGCCUACUCACGUUAGGCUGUUAUUCAGAACAAUCCAUGGGCAGAUUUGCCUUCUUUUAGCCUUUUCUGUUAAAUGAACAUAUUUUUAAAUGGACACCCAUGUCAAAUAUUAUCUCAGAUUCAGGUUUUUCCUAAGAUAGGUUUUCUCCAAAACUUCCCAACAUUAGAAAUAUUUCCAUGAUUUAAAAAAAAACAACAAAAAAAAAACAGGAAGAAGAAAUUUUUUCAGAGAAGACCUUGAGGUGUUAUACUAAUAUGUGAGAGCCAGAAAGUUAAAACUUAUACUAGGGAUUAUGUAUUUUUGACUAUAUACGAAGAUGAAGGUGACACAUUUUCCUGUCUAACUGGUGAUAAAUGAAAAUAAAUAAAUAAACAGGAUGUACUGUGAGUGAAGUAAUAUAUUAUAUUGAA